UACGUAGGGUGCGAGCGUUGUCCGGAAUUAUUGGGCGUAAAGGGCUCGUAGGCGGUUUGUCACGUCGGGAGUGAAAACUCGGGGCUUAACUCCGAGCCUGCUUCCGAUACGGGCUGACUAGAGUAUGCAGGGGAGAACGGAAUUCCUGGUGUAGCGGUGAAAUGCGCAGAUAUCAGGAGGAACACCGGUGGCGAAGGCGGUUCUCUGGGCAUUACCUGACGCUGAGGAGCGAAAGUGUGGGGAGCGAACAGG
rnacentral:rRNA from 1 species